AAGUGACGAUAACUGGCCUGCUCGGUUAAUUCUGGCAUGUAAUGUAUUAUAGUCCUUAGAAACCCUUGACUUGUGUCACGUACCCUCUUGAGAUAUUAGUGACGGAGAAUGCCGUCUCAAUGUUCUUGCGAUCCGGUGACAGAUCGUAGGAUCCUCCGAAAUGAGAGAAUGGAUGGCAAGGAUUGAAUCGCGGCUCAAGCUUAUCCGGAACCAAUCGGUGGCCGAUUUGUGUCCCGGAGCACCCGUGGGACGACACUUGCCGCGAUUUGAUUCGGCCGGGCCACCUCAUGCUUUCCCUAGCCGACCUAACGCCCAUAUAUAUACCCCCUCUGCUCAUUUGUUCCUUGGGCCAAAAAAAACUCGUUAGAAAAGCUUAGUUCGCGGGUGAAACCUUCAGAAGCCUAAACCGCUAGGGAAAUCCAAGUGAGUCUCAAGUCACGUGAAGUAGCACGUGAAUAGGAUAUUUUCUUCAUUUAUUUCCCUAAUCUAGCUUAGGAGGUUAAUUAUAAUUACUUAGCCUAAUUGUUUGCUUAAUCCUAG